AGCCGAGCUGGUUGUACCCAUCUGCUGUGUUUGAGCCUGUUGAAGGAUAAAAUAAACCUCUGCCAGCUCAGAAGAAGCCCGAGCAAACUGGGAAAACAGACAAGAUUAUCAGCAAGAGAAAGGCAUUUUUCUGCAAGUGCACAAUGCAGCGAUGGUGUGGAGCACAGGACUGGAGUGACAGGGAGACAACGGAGGCGGGAGGAGAGGUGCUGCCCAGGAAGCAGUGUGUACAGCUCAGCUGGAGGCUGCCUGAGGGGUGCUGUGACACCCGGCGUGGGGAGGAAGCGGCUGUUCGUGGAGCUGGUGCCAGCACUCAGCCCCUGCAGCCCUGGCCUUGCUCUGUGCUGGGGGACCGGGGGCACAGGUGGCACUGGCAGCUCCUCUGCUGGAUCCACAGCAUCCCUCGGGCCAGCCCAACUGCACCAGUUCCCGUUGGAGAGGGGGUUUGGGCUGGCAGGGCAGCUCACGGGUCCAGGGGCCAGGCUCUGGCUCGGAGCUGGGCUGCAGAAGGCAGCAGUGCCCUGCACUGCCCAGCUCCUCCCCUUCCUAGUGCUCAUUAGUCCUUUAUUCAUAAAAACAUAGAAUUAGGAAGGUUGGAAUUAAACCUUUUCAGGCGCUC